AACGUAGGUGGCUAGCGUUGUCCGGAAUUACUGGGCGUAAAGGGCGUGUAGGCGGGGGUGCAAGUCAGGUGUGAAAUACCGCGGCUCAACCGCGGGGGUGCAUCUGAAACUGCAUCUCUUGAGUGCCGGAGAGGAAAGCGGAAUUCCCAGUGUAGCGGUGAAAUGCGUAGAGAUUGGGAGGAACACCAGUGGCGAAGGCGGCUUUCUGGACGGCAACUGACGCUGAGGCGCGAAAGCGUGGGGAGCAAACAGG
rnacentral:rRNA from 1 species